rnacentral:rRNA from 1 species
ACUCCUACGGGAGGCAGCAGUGGGGAAUAUUGCACAAUGGGGGAAACCCUGAUGCAGCCAUGCCGCGUGUGUGAAGAAGGCCUUCGGGUUGUAAAGCACUUUCAGCGAGGAGGAAGGGUGUGUGCUAAUACCAUACAUCUGUGACGUUACUCGCAGAAGAAGCACCGGCUAACUCCGUGCCAGCAGCCGCGGUAAUACGGAGGGUGCGAGCGUUAAUCGGAAUUACUGGGCGUAAAGCGCACGUAGGCGGACUGGAAAGUUGGAGGUGAAAUCCCAGGGCUCAACCCUGGAACUGCCUUCAAAACUCCCAGUCUAGAGUUCGAGAGAGGUGAGUGGAAUUCCGAGUGUAGAGGUGAAAUUCGUAGAUAUUCGGAGGAACACCAGUGGCGAAGGCGGCUCACUGGCUCGAUACUGACGCUGAGGUGCGAAAGUGUGGGAGCAAACAGGAUUAGAUACCCUGGUAGCGA